AUUGAACGCUGGCGGCAUGCCUUACACAUGCAAGUCGAACGGCAGCACGGGGCAACCUGGUGGCGAGUGGCGAACGGGUGAGUAAUGCAUCGGAACGUGCCAUUGAGUGGGGGAUAACGUAGCGAAAGUUGCGCUAAUACCGCAUAUUCUGUGAGCAGGAAAGCAGGGGACCGCAAGGCCUUGCGCUCUUUGAGCGGCCGAUGUCAGAUUAGCUAGUUGGUGGGGUAAAGGCCUACCAAGGCGACGAUCCGUAGCGGGUCUGAGAGGAUGAUCCGCCACACUGGGACUGAGACACGGCCCAGACUCCUACGGGAGGCAGCAGUGGGGAAUUUUGGACAAUGGGCGGAAGCCUGAUCCAGCCAUGCCGCGUGAGUGAAGAAGGCCUUCGGGUUGUAAAGCUCUUUCGGUCGGGGAAGGAAAUUAGCACGGGUUAAUACCCGUGAGUAGAUGACGGUACCAGCAUAAGAAGACACCGGCUAACUACGUGCCAGCAGCCGCGGUAA
rnacentral:rRNA from 1 species